GACAGAGGGUGCAAACGUUGUUCGGAAUUACUGGGCGUAAAGCGUGUGUAGGCGGCCUUGCAAGUCGGAUGUGAAAGCCCUGGGCUCAACCCAGGAAGUGCACUCGAUACUGCUAGGCUCGAGUACUGGAGAGGUUGGUGGAAUUCUCGGUGUAGAGGUGAAAUUCGUAGAUAUCGAGAGGAACACCGGUGGCGAAGGCGGCCAACUGGACAGAUACUGACGCUGAGGAGCGAAAGCGUGGGGAGCGAACAGG
rnacentral:rRNA from 1 species